CCCCCCGUAGCCCAAUUGGCAGAGGCACGCGACUUAAAAUCGCGAAAGUGUCGGUUCGAACCCGACCGGGGGGACCA
rnacentral:tRNA from 1 species